AUUGAACGCUGGCGGCAUGCCUAACACAUGCAAGUCGAGCGAGCGGCGGACGGGUGAGUAACGUCUGGGAAACUGACCGAUGGGGGUGGAUAACCAUCGGAAACGGUAGCCAAUUACCGAAACCAUUGGAUCUGACAAGUUGGGACUAGCUAGUAGGUGGGGUAACGGCUCACCUAGGCAACGAUCCCUAGCUGGUCUGAGAGGAUGACCAGCCACACUGGAACUGAGACACGGUCCAGACUCCUACGGGAGGCAGCAGUGGGGAAUAUUGCACAAUGGGCGAAAGCCUGAUGCAGCCAUGCCGCGUGUGUGAUGAAGGCCUUCGGGUUGUAAAGCACUUUCAGCGGGGAGGCGUUACCCGCAGAAGAAGCACCGGCUAACUCCGUGCCAGCCGCCGCGGUAAUUC
rnacentral:rRNA from 1 species